rnacentral:rRNA from 1 species
CGUGGAGACAGGUGGUGCACGGCUGUCGUCAGCUCGUGUCGUGAGAUGUUGGGUUAAGUCCCGCAACGAGCGCAACCCUCACCCCUAGUUGCCACCGGGUUAAGCCGAGCACUCAAGGGGAACUGCCAGCGUCAAGCUGGAGGAAGGCGGGGAUGAUGUCAAGUCAUCAUGCCCCUUACGCCCUGGGCUACACACGUGCUACAAUGGCCAGUACAAAGGGACGCGAGACUGCGAAGUGGAGCUAAUCCCAAAAAGCUGGUCUAAGUUCAGAUUGCAGUCUGCAACUCGACUGCGUGAAGGAGGAAUCGCUAGUAAUCGCGUAUCAGCCCGGCGCGGUGAAUACGUUCCCGGGCCUUGUACACACCGCCCGUCACACCACGAAAGCUGUCUGUACUCGAAGUCGCUGAG